rnacentral:misc_RNA from 1 species
GGAAGUAAAAGUCGCAACAAGGUUUCCGUAGGUGAACCUGCGGAAGGAUCAUUAUUGAAUGAAACACUUCUGGCUUUAUGCUGUUGUGCUGGCCCUUUGGGCAAUGUGCACACGGCUCUGGUCACUUGUUUCUUCUGUUCCACCUGUGCACUGCCUGUAGACACGCUGUGUCUAUGAUAUUUGUUAACACACAACAAUGUUAGUUGGCAUGUUAUAUAUAAUAAUAAAAUAUACAACUUUCAACAACGGAUCUCUUAGCUCUC